UGCGGGUCUUGAUCAGCAGGUCGGCGCCCUUCUGCAGGGCGGCGGGAAGUUCGAACUCGCCGAUCCGCGGC
rnacentral:tRNA from 2 species